GAUGAACGCUGGCGGUAUGCUUAACACAUGCAAGUCGAACGGACUCUUCGGAGUUAGUGGCGGACGGGUGAGUAACGCGUGAGAAUCUGGCUUUGGGUUCGGGACAACCACUGGAAACGGUGGCUAAUACCGGAUGUGCCGAGAGGUAAAAGAGAAAUUGCCUGAAGAUGAGCUCGCGUCUGAUUAGCUAGUUGGUGAGGUAAAGGCUCACCAAGGCAGCGAUCAGUAGCUGGUCUGAGAGGAUGACCAGCCACACUGGGACUGAGACACGGCCCAGACUCCGGCGGGGGGAGGAAGGGGGAAUUUUCCCGAAAGGGGGGAACCCCUGAGGGAGAAAUCCCGCGGGAGGAAAGAAGCCUCUUGGUUUGAAACCCUUUUUUCUAAGGAAAAAAAAAAAGGACGUCCCUAAAGAAAUCACCUCCGCCUACCCCCGUC
rnacentral:rRNA from 1 species